UUUCACGCCCCCCACUUUUCUCGCACUCUGUCUCUUCCUUCCCUUUCCUCCUUACUCGGUAAAAAUUGGGCGUAUAAAUCGGCGGAUGGAAGCAGGGAUCUGUUGGUGCUGCCUCGAAUGAGUAAUUGAGGAGAUGGAGAGUCAACCCGCACCUAGAAGCCUCUCACUAAACCUCCGCCGCCGUUACUCUGAACAGCCAUCGCCGUCUCCAGGAGUUGAGGAGGUUAUUAGUGUAGACUUCGUUUUUCUCAAGUGAUCUUCUAGAGCAGUCAUUUCAGCUGGUAACUAAUGAUAAUAUCCUUUGCAUCAAUGGCUUGAUUUCCAUAAUAACCAUUAAAAUAAAAGAAGUGAGGUAAUAAAGACUUGUUUGCAUCAACGAAACUAAUUGGUUUUAAUUAGAAAUAACAUGUGAUACACAUUUCCUCGAUUGAUAACCUCUCUGGAAAUGUUGUGAUAAAUCCAAAAUUUUAAAUAUUAAUCCAGCAGUUGUGUUAGUCUACGACAGUUUGAUCAACUAUCGCGGGACCAAAUUUUCUAUAAAUUGCAAACUUGAGUUUGGUCGCACUGCUUGCUCAUCUAAAUUCUGCUGCUGUGUUGCGCUAUAAGCAGAACUCGGUCCUUUUUUGAGAUCGCUACUUUAGUGUUGAUCAUGUUUCAGAGAUGUCCACUGUUCUUCAGCAGUGAUAUGUUAUAGCUCGUAGGAUUUUUCCGCUAGUACACUUUGAGCUCACACAUAUUUAGGGACUAACCCCGGAGUUGUCUAGGUUCUCACUUCCAGUAUAGGGGUGUGAUCCUGCCCCCCCCCCCCCCCCCUAAUUGCUUUCUACGCAAACCAGUGAGUAUUAUAUCUCCCUUUACAUUUUCUUGUCCUGAGGUUAAUGUUUAGAAUAGGUUUGAGGUGUGGGUGUUUGCGCGCAUUCUUCUUUUUGUGCUUGUAAUUUAUCCUGAUUGUGCGUGCAUGCAAGGUUUUCUCUCUAUUGAUGGUCACCUGACACUUUUUAUGGGUUAUUAGUAUAGACUUAGUUUCUCUCAAGGGUUGCUUACUAACUUCUGGAUAACUAAGAUUCCCUAAUUUAAAACACCUAAUUUUUUAAUAUUUUAAUGAUAUGUGAAAAAGAAUUUGUGCUGCUGCUGUACAAGACCAAGUGAAUUUCUUAAAAUAUUUUAAUGAUAUGUGUAACUGAAUUUGUGCUGCUACUUAUUACAGCAUUAAUACUAGCAGAUAGCUGAUAAAAUUUUUGGUAAAUUCUUGUGUUAAUUUAGUCCAUUGUGUAUGGGUUUGGAGUUAAUAUUGUUUGUACUUUGUCCUUGGUGCAUUUUAACCUUGUUUACAUGCAGUCCAAACCAUUUAUGGGAAAAUUGAUCAACUACUUUCUGUUAGAAGAAAGCACAGAGACUGAUAAGCAUAUAAGAUAGGAAGCCCUAACUUAACCCAAAACCAUGGUCAAAGGUAAAGGGUUGACUCCCUAUUAUAUGCUAUUCCACACUUUCGUGUGAAACCGAUGUGGGAUCGUAUCAAUCCAUCCCUCUUUUAAACCGGACGUCCACGGACGGCACACGCCACGGGCCCACCAUCCGCUUUACGGCCCUUUUUCCUUUCGGGCCCACGUUUUUUUCGGUGGCACCCCUUGGUCACACCUACGGGUAGCCCCUUUCCGUAGGACAUCCGGAUCCACGUUCACCGCACCAAAUUGAUAAGCAUAUAAGAUAGGAAGCCCUAACUUAACCCAAAACCAUGGUCAAAGGUAAAGGGUUGACUCCCUAUUAUAUGCUAUUCCACACUUUCGUGUGAAACCGAUGUGGGAUCGUAUCAGAGACAGUGUUGUGCCACUUUUUAUUAUGCUAGCCUUUAUGCGCAAGGUCAAACGGGAGCUUUUUUCUCCUUAGCCGGGGCACCUGUGACAUUCACAACAACGAGUUUAUGAGUCGAUUCUUUGACAAAUUCUAGGACAUCGAAGUUGAUUCAUAUGGUCAGAUAUAUAUUAUCUAGUUCAUUUUCUUUGCCGCAUUUUACUCUUUUUUCACGGCAGAAACGAUCCACCCAGCCCUCAAAUGCAUUUCCAGUUUGCCCCUCGGCUUCAUCAGAAGGUGGAUUUUCCAUGCAAUUUGCAUCUUUACUUAUGACCAAAUGAGUGCUAGCAGUUACUCAUCUGGCCUUGUUAGCACUGGAAUUGGUGCUAUGCCCCAUAUGCUGGAAAUUGGCUCUGACAAGAUAGAACCUAUUGGAUCCCAGAAUCCUACAAGGUUUGUGUAGUUUAUGGCAUCUUUUGAUUUUUGUAUUAUUUAUUAAAUAUUAAAUAUUAAUUGUUGUUUUUCUUUGAGUAAACCCUCCGACCAAGAAAAACUAAAACGAAUCAAUUUAGUAAAAUUACGGUGAUCAUUUUUUAGUUCACUCAUCUCAUAUUUCAAUUGGUGAUGGUCCACAAACUCCUGAAAACAACAUCAUUCCUUCAUUCCCUCCUGCUUUGGCUAGCUACUGAUGGAACCUUCUAGUUAUGCAAAGAACCUGGAAAUGCUACACAUCCUACUAAUGCAAUUCUGUCUUUCAAGCAUCCUGGGACAAACCUUGAUAUUAGAAUGAGUUAUUUUGAUGAUACAAUCUCAUUUCUAUAUGUUUAAACAUAUGUGUGCCUACUUUAGAUUAUGAAGCACAAGUCCGAAUAGCAGCUGCCGAAAAGGUUACAAAUUGAUUCUUUAUCUAGAACUUGCUGUCCAACAUAUUAGUUUGUAUUUAAGUUGAUACUUUUGAAUAUGCAUUUUAAGUAUUUGUUACAUAUGUUGUGCUUAAUUUCUUUAUUUUUUAUUUACCAGCUGAUUUAUACCAGUGUUGUUAGGGUCGCGUGUCGCACCGGGGCGAUUGAGUGAAAUUUUGGGUCGCGGGGCGAUGAGUCGACCGGGUCGUGCGCCCCACCAAUCAAACGUGGUAAUAGUGCAAAAAUUGCAUAACACGCUGUACUUUUAUUUUUAUUGACCUACCAUUUCACCCUAUUAAUAUAACUAAGUUGUAGAUAGGUUUGUGCUCUUAUUAUAAUAUAGGUAAUGUAUUUAUAUAACAGCAGCUUAUAAAGAAAGAGAGAUGCAUAAUUGCCUAUGAAAUAUUAAUUAAACAUUUGUUAGAAAUGGAGAGCUGAGUAAGAUAGAGAUGGAGAAUGUGUUAAAUAUUACUCUGUCUAUGAGUAAUGAGAGAGAAAGAGAGACUGCCUAUUAAUUACUAUAGGAAAACGUGCUAGCAGCCCUGCCUCACUAAAUCAUUUAUGUAAUCUAGGAGAGUAAAAGUUGUAUUCCAUUUAGUAUAGGAGUAUUUAAAUAUUAUAGGGACUGUUCAUCUUUUAUUUUCUUUCUUCUCCACUUGACCGCGACCCACAAUAUCGACUCCGGCUUGACCCAAUCGCCCCCGUCGCCCCAGCCGCGGCCCCGUAUCUCGAUCAACCCACCCAAGUUGGGGCGGUGCUGGCUGCGACCCGAGCGACCCGAGCGACCCAAACGACAUUGUGACAACACUGGUUCUAUAUCAAGCCAACUCAGAAGGUCACUUCAGGGGCUUGGCUAUGCAAGUCGUCUUCUAGAGCUGUCAUUUCAGCAAGUGACUAAUGAUAAUCUCCAUCAAUGUGUCUUGAUUUCUAUAAUAACUAUUAAAAUAUAACAAGAGAGACGAAUAAAGACUUGUUAGCAUCAACCAAACUACUUGGUUUUAAUUAGAAAUACCAUAUGGCUUUGCAGGAAUCACAAACGGAGUUGACACUGAUGAAUGGAAUCCAUCCACUGAUACACAUCUUCCUCGAUUGAUAUCCGCUCUGGAAAUGUUGUGGUACACACAAAAUUUUAAGUUCUAGAGAUGUCCCCUGAUCUUCAAUAGUGAGGUGUUAUAGCUGUAACCACUACUCGCAGGAUUUUUAUGCUAGUACAUUUUGAGCACAAACUUUUGCAGGAACUAACCCAGAGUUGUCCUAGUUCUCACUUCCGGUAUAGGGGUGUGAUCCGGCAUCACCCCUUACUUGCUUUCUACUCAAACAAAUAAUGAAGCACAAGCAUGAAUAGCUCUGCUGAAAAGGUCACUAAUUCUGUUGGAUUCCUUGUCUGGAACUUGCUGUCCAACAUAUUAGGAGUUAAGGAGGAGCUAACUUCUAAAGGAGGCAAGUUAAGAGAUGAAAUGCCUAACUCCCAUCACCUAACUUCCCACGCAAACAAGGGAGUAUUUUAUUUCCCCUCACAUUUUUUUUCCUUCACAUAAAAGGGCAAUGUUAAGUUAAGAUUUGGGGUGAGGGUGUUUAUGUGCAUGCUUGAUUAUGUGGUUGUAAAUAAUUUGAUUACCCUAUCUCCGAUGUGUUGAUUCUGAAGGACCCUUUUUUCAAUAGUGUAUAUAACAAUGCGAAUACUAAAGAAGUUGUGUUUUUAAAUGGCAGGACUAUGCCAUGCCAUGGAGCCUGAUGAGAAACUUAUGCGAAAUGCAGCAGAUUUGAUGGUAGCAAGGUUGGCAGGAAGUCUUGCUAAUGUAACUUAUUAGGAACCUUUACGUGGUCCAGUAUCAAGCCAACUCAGAAGGUCACUUCAGGGCUUGGCCAUAGCAAAUGAUCUUCUAGAGCAGUCAUUUUAGUUGGUGACUAAUGGUAAUAUCCUUUCAUACAUUGUGUCUUUAUUUCCAUAAUUUUAUUAAAAUAAAAGAGAUGCGAAUAAAAGACUUGUUAGCAUCAACCAAACUAAUUGGUUUUAAUUAGAAGGCUUUGCAGGAAUCAUAGGCGGCGAUGACACCGAUGAAUGGAAUCCAUCCAUUGACACACAUCUUCCACGAUUGAUAGCCGCUCUGGAAAUGUUGUGAUACACAUAAAAUUUUAAAUAUUAUUCCAUCAUUUGUAUUUGUCUAUGACAGUUAGAUCAGCUAUCGAGGGACCAAAUUUGCUUUUGAUUGCAAACUUGAGUUUGCUCGUACUGCUCAUUUAACUUCUGGUGCUGUUCAUUGCAGGUUGAGUGCAAGGCUGCGCUGCAAGCAGAACUCGGUCCUUUGUUGAGAGCACUAUUUCAGUAUCGAAUGAGAUUUACUUAUUAAAGCAAUAAUACCAGCAAAUAGCUGAGAAAUUUUUUGGUAAAGUCUUGUUUUAAUUUAGUCCAUUGUGUAUGGGUUUGGAAUUAAUAUUGUUUGUAUUUUUUCCUUUUUACAUUUUUGAGAUAGAUAUAAUACAUCACGAAGCUAAACACGAUAGCGUGAACCCAAGAGAAACGAUUUUUUUCGCAAGAAAGCCUACGCCCAAUGCAUAAGAGCACGAGAGCGGCAACGUUGAAAGGAUAGACGAGGAACAAUGCUAUAAGGGAAUAGCACAAGAUGCAUCCUCACUGUGGUCAAGUCACUCAUGUAGAUCCAGGGGUCGAUGUUUAGGAGAGGGCCCCGGAGAUGGUGAGACAGGCAGUCGAGGCACCCGAGCCACCACCAGCUCACCACUGGGUGGAGGACCUCCGUGCCAGGUUCCGUCAGCAGUCGGAGGAGAGGAUGGCUUGGCUGCAGGCCAUCCGCGCUGAGAUGGAGCUAGAGGCGGUUCUCUUCCCGAUAGUCGCAGCCCCACCCCCAGCGCCCGAGGACAUGCCAGGGGCAGCACCUGAGGAUCCUAUCCUGGUGAUGGAUAGUGAUACUGACUUCGAGGGGAGUUCGGGAGUGAGCUCUCUAGGAUCGGACGAGGAGCAGUAGGUGGCUUGUACCAUCAGAAAUGUCUCAGUAUGAUGGCGUUCGGAUGUAGUGCUUUCUUUUGAGAUGUAGUAGAUUUCAUUUGGAUUAGCACGUAAGACCCGAGCUGUUAGACGGGCAGUGGCUAAGUACUUUUGGUGAUGUUCCGUAGUACCGGGACUUCAUGAUGCGUACUUGGAUGUGCGUUCUUUUUGUAAAAGACCUUUCGAGGCGAACUCUUAUGAUGUACUGGAUUUGCGAUUAUAUAUGAAAUCUCGUUAUCUUUAAAA